CUUGUAAGAAACGCACUGUUUUAUAUUAAAAUGUAUUAUACAUUUUAGUGAAUUGUUAAAGUGUUAACAUUGACAUAAUUUUUAAAAAAGGCACCUUUUUAACCAAAUGAAAUCUCUAGUCAUAUCUUUUUGGAUGGAAUACAUUGAUCCAGUGAUACCACUUGUCAAUACAACUAUUCCUAAUACCACUGCCUUAAAACUUUGUUGUGGACAUCAUGUGAGCUGGCAACAAAUCUAGACAAUGUCUUAUCCUAUCUAUUAAAAGGCAUUCCUUAUUAACAGAAGAUACUUCUGUCCUAUCCAUGUGUCAAUCUAGUCCUGCAUGUUAAUUACAGACUUAACUAUGCUAAGUCAUUGCUUUUCCAGGCUGAUUCAGGCAACCCAUUCCUUCCUCCAAUGGUACUAGAGGAAAAGACCUACUAUAACGGUAAUUGGACUUUUAUAUUGUGCCUUGUUAAACAGUUCAAAGCAUAACUAUAACAUGUCUAAUAUGUUUGACAAUACACUAUAUAAACUAUAUUAAAAGCUCAUUUUUUUAAAGUGGAGUGUAAACCUUUGAUUUAAAUCUAAAAAAUAUAAACAAAUCUGGAGAUUUUGAAUUUUAGUUCCAGAUAGCUAAAUGUUUAGCCAAAGGGUUUUAUAGAAAAGACUUAGAGUUAACAAUGACAUUUAAUUUAAUUGUUCAUUCGAAGUACUCAACACUAUCAUGGCAUGAAAAAUAGAUUUGACAAGAAAAUGUCCAUUGACUAUGAGAACCUUGAAUGUCUUAUAGACAAGAAAAUGUCCAUUGACUAUGAUAACCUGGAAUGUCUUAUAAACAAGAAU